UGGGGAAUUUUCCGCAAUGGGCGAAAGCCUGACGGAGCAUUGCCGCGUGGAGGUGGAAGGCCCACGGGUCGUCAACUUCUUUUCUCGGAGAAGAAACAAUGACGGUAUCUGAGGAAUAAGCAUCGGCUAACUCUGUG
rnacentral:rRNA from 1 species